UCCGCAGUAGCUCAGUUGGUAGAGCAUUCGGCUGUUAACCGAACGGUCGUAGGUUCGAGUCCUACCUGCGGAGCCA
rnacentral:tRNA from 1 species